rnacentral:rRNA from 1 species
UAGUCCACGCUGUAAACGAUGGAUACUAGGUGUUUGGGGAGUUAACCCCCUGAGUACCAAAGCUAACGCAUUAAGUAUCCCGCCUGGGGAGUACGGUCGCAAGGCUAAAACUCAAAGGAAUUGACGGGGGCCCGCACAAGCGGUGGAGUAUGUGGUUUAAUUCGAAGCAACGCGCAGAACCUUACCUACCCUUAACAUUCCAGGACAACCUCAGAGAUGGGGCUUUCCCUUCGGGGACCUGGGGAUAGGUGCUGCAUGGCUGUCGUCAGCUCGUGUCGUAGGAUGUUUGGUUAAGUCCAAUAACGAGCGCAACCCUUAUCUUCUAGUUACCAUCAUUAAGUUGGGGACUCUAGAGAGACUGCCGGUGUUAAACCGGAGGAAGGCGGGGAUGACGUCAAGUCCUCAUGGCCCUUACGGGUAGGGCUACACACGUGCUACAAUGGUAUAGACAAUGAGCAGCCACAACGCGAGUUGGAGCGAAUCUAUAAACUAUAUCACAGUUCGGAUCGAAGUCUGCAACUCGACUU